UACGUAGGGUGCGAGCGUUGUCCGGAAUUACUGGGCGUAAAGAGCUCGUAGGUGGUUUGUCGCGUUGUUCGUGAAAACCGGGGGCUUAACCCUCGGCGUGCGGGCGAUACGGGGCAGACUUGAGUACUGCAGGGGAGACUGGAAUUCCUGGUGUAGCGGUGGAAUGCGCAGAUAUCAGGAGGAACACCGGUGGCGAAGGCGGGUCUCUGGGCAGUAACUGACGCUGGAGGUGACGGAAAGCGUGGGGAGCAAACAGG
rnacentral:rRNA from 1 species